GAGGGAGUCCCUCCCUCUAAAAGCACUCUGUGUGGGGAACAUGAGAGCCAGACCAAAGCUCAGAGGAAGCAACGAGGAACUAAACGCAAACAUGAACCUGAACCCAGCUGUGUGUCCUUACAGAGUGACUGGUCUGAAGAUCGCCCAAUUAAUUUCAGAGGACAUCACUGCUCUACUGCAGAGAGAGUGGACCAGCAGAGCUCAGAGGUUCCCAGUGGUCAGUCUGCCCAGCAGCAUCAAACACACCUGGACUCCAUAUUUAUGGUCUGUACAUGUACAACAACUACUUUUACAUCUAUUCUGUUCACAGUCAUCUCCAUGCUGCUCUUUGUAGACCAGUUGAUUGUCAAUGUCAUGGUCUGGAGUCUGGUGACUCCGUGUUUAUGUUUUGUGUUUAUUAAUAUUAAUAAAUAAUAGUGAGUUAGUUAGUUUUCGGGUUAUUUGUUAUCAUUUAUAGUGUUUAGGUGUUCUCUGUGCCUACCUUGUGUUCUGUC